rnacentral:rRNA from 1 species
CACGUAGGGGGGCGAGCGUUGUCCGGAUUCAUUGGGCGUAAAGGGCGCGCAGGCGGCCCGGAAAGUCGGAUGUGAAAACUCGAGGCUCAACCUCGAGCGUGCACCCGAUACUGCCGGGCUUGAGGCAGGUAGGGGAGAUCGGAAUUCCUGGUGUAGCGGUGAAAUGCGCAGAUAUCAGGAGGAACACCGGUGGCGAAGGCGGGUCUCUGGGCAGUAACUGACGCUGAGGAGCGAAAGCGUGGGGAGCGAACAGG